rnacentral:lncRNA from 1 species
CGCAUCUAAUACAAUUAAGUUCGGCACAUGAAGAGUACGCCGUCUGAAACGGGCCUUAGUCUUGUUGGAACAACUUGUAGCAAGUCUGUUACCGUCAUCAACCUUGUAAUAAGAUGAUAACAACUUGUUCCAGACUUGUCACAACAGCUGGGAACAAGCAGUGCGAACACAUCCUGAUAUCGACUUCACAACAACCUUGUUACAACUGGUUUGCGGAUCUGUAACAAGUUGUGAUUUUACGUAUGUAUUUGAUGGCAAAGAUGUAGUUUGAUUAUUUUGACGAGCUCGGUUGCCCCGUAAUGCUUUCUGAAAACACACAGACAUCAUAAAAUAGAAUCUUAGGGUCUGCUCAUACGAGUCGGGACAGCUGGGCUAGCAGAAAUGUUACGAAAUUGUUUUCCUUACCAGGGCUCUCGAAGUAGAAAAAAAUAUGGUCUGCCAGUCUAAAUUUUUUUGGCAGGUGAAAUAAAUUUUAACCUGCCAUUUUUAUUCAUUGAACUGUCAAAAUGCUAUAGGAGUCAUAUUGUAAAAAUCAAUAUUUUCAUGAUAUGCUUUUUUAUUUUUUU